GUGGUGACCAAAACUGGAGGCAGAAUUCCAAGUGUGGCCUUACCACUCCUUAUUAGGAGUCCUGUGGGACACAGAAGAUCAACUGAAAUUGAGAAGGAGAGCUGGGUUCCAAAAGCUUCUCUGCCUCAGUCUAAAUGUGUGGGAAAAUGCCAUCCUGUAUUUGUCAAACAGGCUCGAGAAGGAGAGCCAGUUUGCUGCUACGACUGCAUUCCUUGUCCAGAGGGGACCAUCUCCACUCAGGAAGAUACCAAAAAAUGCACCAAAUGCCCAGAUGAUCAAUAUCCAAUUGAGAACCGAGUCCAGUGUAUCCCCAAAAGAAUUAACUUCCUGUCUUAUGAAGAACAUCUCAGCAUCAUCCUCAUCUCCUUUGCUCUACUCUUGUUCCUAAUCACAGGCUUUGUUUUAAUCGUAUUCAUUAAAUACCUUGAAACUCCUAUUGUCAAAGCAAACAACUGGGACC